GGGCUCGCUUUGGCAGCACAUAUACUAAAAUUAGAACCAUACAAGGAAGAUUAGCAUGGCCCCUGCACAAGGAUGCCAUGCAAAUCCACGAAGCAUUCAAAUUCCAA